rnacentral:lncRNA from 1 species
AUGCCCAGAGGCCCUGCAUGCAGCACACCGGCUCCGUGCUGGGUCCCGUCCCUGUCCUCCCGAGGUGGAGUGUCUAGGAGAAAGCUGGAGCCAUGGGCAGGGGUGCUGCGAAGGCUGAAUGAGGUCUCAGGGGCUCAGCGGACUGCACGCUGCUGUCCUCCCAAGGCCCCUUCUCGGCCUGGCCACCCCCGAUGGAGCCCCCUCCUCCUGCAACCAAGCCUAGGUCACCUGCUGGACUGUACCUUCUGCUUCUGGACGCAUGGGCGCUCAGCCUGGGCAGCGGUGAGACAGGCGAUAGGCACCUCUCCCCGCAACACAGCCUCACCCCCACAUUGAUCAGGCGUGUGGGGCAGAGGUGGGGUCUCUGAAUGGUUCUUCCCGACCUGCCCCAGCCUUAGCCGGACCUUGACCACUCCCUGCACAGGGCGUGGCAUCCCCCUUGGCCAGAGGCCCCCCAGGGGGCUGAGCUGAUAACCGAGCAAAUGUCUGUUUCCUUGAAAGAGCAGGAGACCCUCAGGGGCGUCCCUGAGGAAGUUGUCAGACAGACCACGAAAUCCACUCUAGGCCCACCCGGCCGGUCCACGAUGAGCAGCCGAUCAGCAAUCGCAGCGACGACCGAAAGGAGGCCGACAAGAGCCGGUCGGACUUCACGGGAAAUACGUGUUCUCUCUCUGUGAGAUGCCACGUUGUGAGCCGAGACACCGGGGUCUCUCCCACCCCACCCGCCGCCAUGUCUGGGGGCCAGGGGCAGGGCAGGUGUGGCCGUGGGUGGGGGCAGGGGCCUUAGGGGCAGAGUGAGCCCAGGUCACCCCAGAUUCUGGGGGGAGGAUGGAGUUGACACAGUGCAGGGGGGGGCAGGGUAAGGGGCGAGGGCAGGCUGAGGGAAGAGGAAGCCCUGGGUUUGAUCCUGCAGGUCUGGGGAGUCUGAGGGGGCACGGGGAGGGGGUGGAGGGUGUCAGAAUCACAGAUCGGGGGACGUGAAGUCACCAGGCGGGACAAGGUGGUCCAGGGGGAGGGGGAGAGGCAGGAGGGUCACUGCAAGACUGGGCAAGGACACCCACAGGGCCGGGAGUCGGGAGCGUCCAGGAGGAGAGGCCCAGACAUCAGGGGCAGCGGCCCCGUGCGGUGCCUUCAUCUGCAGCCUGUGACCUCGGCGAGGGGGCAGCCCUGAAAGAGGGCCCCCCACCGCAGUCUCACCACCCCACAGCCCCUCUCCCCUGAACACCCCGCCUGCCUGCCUUGCAAUGGGGUGCCACCUCCACUAGGAGGACCAGUCUCACCCUGGGCCCCCGCUUCUGGGCUGUGGGUCCAUUUGCAAGUCUAAUUGCCUUGCUCC